rnacentral:tRNA from 1 species
GCCUGGCUGGCUGAGUUGGUAGAGCAUGGGACUCUUGCUUUCAAGGUCAUGAGUUCGAGCCUUAUGUUGGGCA